rnacentral:rRNA from 1 species
AGCGAACGCUGGCGGCAGGCCUAAUACAUGCAAGUCGAACGAAGCCCUCGGGCUUAGUGGCGGACGGGUGAGUAACACGUGGGAACGUACCCUUUGGUUCGGAACAACUCAGGGAAACUUGAGCUAAUACCGAAUGAGCCCCCUUCUUAACCGGAGGGUGGGAAAGAUUUAUCGCCAUUGGAGCGGCCCGCGUCUGAUUAGCUAGUUGGUGGGGUAAAGGCCCACCAAGGCUACGAUCAGUAGCUGGUCUGAGAGGAUGAUCAGCCACACUGGGACU